rnacentral:rRNA from 1 species
CGCCCCUUGUAAAAGCUUCGGCUGAUGUAUAAGGGGUCCUGCCUGCCCGGUGACUUAGUUAAACGGCCGCGGUAUUUUGACCGUGCAAAGGUAGCAUAAUCAUUUGCCUUUUAAAUGGGGGCUGGUAUGAAUGGCAAGACGGAAGUGGAGCUGUCUCUUUCUUGUUUUCCGAAUUUAAUUUCUUUGUGAGGAAGCAAAGAUGUAGCCGUGGGACGAGAAGACCCUGUCGAGCUUUAGUGGGUCCACACAAGUGGGUAUUUCGAGCCGUUUGUUGCUAAUUUGCUUAUUAGAGGUGUUAGUGUUACGAAGCAGGGGGCUUUCAUUUUGUGUAGGUCGGUUUUGGUUGGGGCAACCGCGGAGAAGAAGGAUCCUCCGCUGUGUAGAUUAGGGAAAAAGUAUGGUUUUCCUUAUGUAGGUUUUUUUGUUUGAUCCACCGUUUUGGGUGAGCAGAAGAAUAAGUUACCGCAGGGAUAACAGCGUAAUUCCUUUGGAGAGUUCAUAUUGAUAAGGGGGUUUGCGACCUCGAUGUUGGAUCGGGAUUUCCUGGGGGUGCAGCAGCUCCCGAGGGUUGGUCUGUUCRACCAUURARAUCCU